GACUGGACUAUGUGCCAAAAGAGACCUUUGCUUUGAAUUCACUUAGCCUGUUAAGUUAGUUCGAGGAGUUUGCUGCCUACAAUCAGAAGACAGCCAUUUUGACUGAAAACGUUCAGUGCAGCCUUGUACCUGAGAGGAACAUGUAUGCCAUAAUGAUCUUACGAGCCGGCUUAAGCCCGAUGAGUCAUUCUGGAAUAGUGAGUAUAAGUCAUCAGAACCAAUGACUCGCAGGUCUUAUGAUAGAUGCCAUGCCAUUCAACUAGGAUUCAGCCAAUCCACAGGUGUGAGAGGUGUGGGUGCCCUCACCAGGCCCAGUUCUCCCACCACUUACACUGAUGCAACACAAGAGUAAGUGCCCUGAGUCAGUGCUGUUCCAGUGUACGAGAGAGAAGUGGGCCAUUCAUUUUACUUUAACUCAGACAUACCCUUAAACAUGUUCAUACCAGAAUAUUUUCCCAGGUGUCCGGUCUCAUUGUGGGGAUCCUUAGAAGCCACAGUUACAAGCAGAGCACUAUUUGGUGGCACCCCCCAACUUACAACAAACUGCCUCUGCCACUGCUUACCCACAGGGGCCCAUGACGGCAGCAGAAAGCAAGUUAGGCAUUCUGUCCUGGACUUGGCCUGGCCUGAUUCCCAGAUCUGGCAAUAGCAUCCUAGCACCUCUCAGCAUGCUGCUGCCUAGGUGACAACCUCAGGUUUGGCAUUGACCACGUAUAAGCCAGA